UUUCACAUUAGAUUCAGAUGUCACACAUUGCACAACUUGUAUUAUGACAGAAUCCUGCAGCUCUGGAAAGACAUCAUGACAGCAACAAAUCCUUGGCUUCUCCUUCCUGAUGACAUCAGCAGAUAACUGCCUCCAGCGGAAGAUGUCCUGUCGGCACCUGGCACCCAGGGGAAGGAAGGCCCGCUACUCCCCGCCUAACACACACACACACACACACACACACACACACACACACACACACACACACACACACACACACACACACACACACACACACACACACACCCUGCGAGUGUGGGCGUCUGCGUGUAAGAGGAUGUAGUUGCAUGUGCGUACACAGACGCUCUGCAUGCCUGUGUGUGUCUGUCUGUGUGUGUCAAUGUGCUGCACGGUGUGUUUGUGCUGCAUUAUUAUUGUGUGCCUGUGAGCUGGUGUUGUCUGUCAAUCUCCCCCUGGUCCCAGUCUGCUCUGGCUGGUUUUAUUGAAGCAACAGACAGCGUGGGCACACACACACACACACACACACACACACACACACACACACACACACACACACACACACACACACACACACACACACACACACACACACACACACACACACACACACACACACACACACACACACACACACGUAAGCUCGGAGCAGCCCUGAUCCCAGGCUGAUAGAGACAGACAGAGACUUGGUGAAGUUGAGAGAACAGCCUGGGGUUGUCUGCAGACCACGGGGAAUACGCCCCCGAGUCACAAAAAUACUGGAGUAGAAGCCAAAAACUCUGCUGCACCCCCUCCUCUGCUACUGCUGCCAUUCAGCUCAGUCUACCUGCAUGUCUGACUCCUGUCUGUCAUUCAGUCCAUCAGCUGCUUAAUCAUUCACUCUUUUUUCCCCUCUCCCUUUGCAUCUAUUUAGCGAUCUCCAUUUGUUUUUUGAGCGUUUUUUUUCAUCUGCGGAUUUAGCCGCUUGUUCCUUUUUAUUCAUCAGUGCCAUCAAUCUUGCAUGGAGAAAACCAAUGCAUCAGCAGUGUAAUUUUGUAAUCAGCACAGUGAGGAAUACAAAUCAGAUCGGAAGCAGGGCCGUAAUGUAUGUAAUCCAUCAGAAUGAAAGUGUUACAGACAAAUGAUAAACAUGCAUUUUUGAGUUGAUUAAUUGUCUGUACAAGAGAUUGAUCCCUCCAUAUACUCAAAGAUCCGGAGUUUCUUUCUUCCUUCUCUGCUGAAGUAUGUCGAUGGACAAGCACGCCGACUAUAACUUCCUAUUUCCCGUGUGAUGUGUAAAAUCGAUUUAAAUAUACUGACAGUUUGGGAAUAAGCUUUGCAGGACUGAAGCCUUUUUGUUUUCGUUAUAGCGCUGCAGGCAUUACAAUAUGUGUCUGAUUGGAACAUUUCAUUUUGUUUAUGCCGUUUCUUUUAUUUUAUUGCUCUGUAUUGGUGGCUAUUAGGAAUUUUAACAGCAUCACAGAACUCAUCUCCUCAUACACAACCUCCCCCACGCACACACCCACUCACAACACCUCCGCUCGUUUUGAGCUAUGGUGGCCUGCACUUGACAGAAACAACAUAGCAGACAAGUAAGCGGGCUAAUUAGAGAAACAUCCAGUAAAGUGGUGAUAUAUCACACCGCUAAAUACUGCGAUAAUUAUACAGCUUUGGCAUUUGCUUUCAUUUGCUUUUGUUGGGUUGAGCACGAGGCUGAUUAGUCUUCAUAAUGCCGGUUCCUACCUUCUAGCAGCGUUCCCUGCUGUUGAGCAGCUGAAAAUGCCAGCGAAAUGGGGGUGUGGAGUUUUGAAAGCACCUGGCAAAGUAAUCAUUGAUUCAUGGCUAUUGAUCGCCAAUUCUAUCAACUCCUGCAGAUAUAUGAUGGUCAUUCUGUGCAGCGGGGCAGAGAGAAUAAUCUUACUGAUUGCUCUUUCAUUCUUCGAGGCGUUUAUUCUUACUUGUGCAUAACUAGUCUCAGGGCCAACACAAGACAGAGCGAUUGACAUUGUUUCCCCAGCAAUCAAAAUAUAGGACCCAUGCUGCCUGGCCCGGCUGUGGCUAUCUCAAUGCAAGAUUGAUGAGGCUCUUCAGGUAGAUACAAAGCUAAGUGUCUUGUUUAUUAAUGUGCUGUGAUUGGAUCCAUUAGCUGCCCUGUGUAAACUAAUCGCUGUAUAAUGUGUGUUGUCAUUUCAGCCUAACUGCUGAUAAUGUAUUCCUCCCCCGUCUUUGCAAAUGCUGUUAUUUUCUAAUAGACUCAUAGAAAUAAUGUUGUGUCAGGAGUAAGGAUUUUUCUCUCCAUUCGCCCUGCUGAACAGUAAGCAUGUUUCACAUUCACAUUGAUUGCUGAAUUUGCUGUAUGCUUCUGCUUGCUGUUAUCUGAUAUGAGCGGUUAUAUAGAUAUUCGGUGCAGAAUGCAGCUAGAUUUGGACAAAUCGAGUUGCGAUAAAGCCCAUCUUUUUUAUUUAAUUCUACCUGGUGGAGUGCAGAUUUACCGCCAACACACGCAGGAGUGUUUAGCUUGGAAACAAAUCGGGUCAAAUCUCAACUGCAUCCUGGAAUAUGACUGCUGACAACCUUUGCCUUUCUGCAUGACAUGACAUCCACAAACACAUCAGCGCAGCAGCAACACCAGGGACAAAGAUUAUUGACUCGUAAUAGCAGAUCUAAUAGUAUCGCUUUCACAAAAGGAGAGGGAAAAAAAAAGAGAAACAGCCUGACAGAACCAUAACAGUAUCAUAACCACACUGGCUGACAUCCAGCUUGCCAUCCUCAGGGAUCAAUUUCUUCAAAGCAUAAUGUAUCUCUUUUAUUCUCCAUCUCAGAUGCAGAGUUGGUGAUCUCAAGGUGCGCAGUGAGACUUUGAAGUGCAAAAGAGUCAGAGCGAGAGAUGGAAGAUUCACAGCCCUGCUUUCUCCCCGCUGAGAUCCUCUGACCUCAAGUGAACAGAGUGAAACUGAGCAAAUUGAAAAUAAGUUUAGUAGGGCACGCCACAGCUCAAUGUACAUACUGGAAAAUAAACCUCGUGAAACUA